rnacentral:rRNA from 1 species
UACAGGAGGGUGCGAGCGUUGUUCGGAAUUAUUGGGCGUAAAGGGCGCGUAGGCGGUGCCACAAGUCACUUGUGAAAUCUCCGGGCUUAACUCGGAGCCUGCAGGCGAAACGUGUGGUGCUGGAGUGUGGGAGAGGUGCGUGGAAUUCCCGGUGUAGCGGUGAAAUGCGUGAGAUAGUCUGGAGGAACACCGGUGGCGAAGGCGAUCCUGGACCAAUUCGUGACGCUGAGGAGCGAA